ensembl:lncRNA
CUGGCCCUCGAUGUGGAGAUCGCCACCUACAGGACGUUGCUGGAAGGAGAGGAGUGCAGGUUGAAUGGUGAGGGCGUUGGACCAGUCAACAUCGCCGUGGUGCAGUCCACCAUGUCCAGCGGCUAUGGCAGUGCAGGUGGUGCCAGCAGCAGCAUAGGCCUGGGAGGAGGCAGCAGCUUCUCCUAUGGUGGUAGCCACAGCAUUGGAGGUGGCUUCAGUGCUGGCAGUGGCAGAGGCAUCAGCAGUGGACUCAGCUCCUCUGGUGGCAGCUCUUCCACCAUCAAGUACACCACCACCUCCUCCACCAGGAAGAGCUACAGGCCAUGAAUUCUGUCUCUAAGAGCUUUACCCUGAUCCCAGACAUCAUGGCUGCAGAGCCCUGUGCUCAGAGCCCUGUGCUCUGGGGCUUC